GAUGAAGAACGCAGCGAAAUGCGAUAAGUAUGUGAAUUGCAGAAUUCCGUGAAUCAUCGAAUCUUUGAACGCACAUUGCGCCCCCUGGUAUUCCGGGGGGCAUGCCUGUCCGAGCGUCAUUACAACCCUCAAGCUCAGCUUGGUGUUGGGCCCCGCCGCCCCGGCGGGCCCUAAAGUCAGUGGCGGUGCCGUCCGGCUCCGAGCGUAGUAAUUCUUCUCGCUCUGGAGGUCCGGUCGUGUGCUCGCCAGCAACCCCCAAUUUUUUUCAGGUUGACCUCGGAUCAGGUAGGGAUACCCGCUGAACUUAAGCAUAUCAAUAAGCGGAGGA
rnacentral:misc_RNA from 1 species